rnacentral:lncRNA from 1 species
UUGCAAUUGUUGCCAGUGUCACCCCGGUAUAAUCUUUCAGUGUGAUAUACAGCUAAAUUCUGGAGUGCUUUUGUCUUGACGCCAUGCUGGAAAGUUCUGAACCAAAACACACUACUCACGUAUGACAUCAUCACGCAUGGAGAUGUAAGAGGAACCAAUAAGGAGGAGGACAAACAAUUCUUAGGAAUCGAAUCACUGGGAACUGGUUCUUGAAAAAGACAGUUAUGGAUUCUUAUCCCUUUCCACAGAUUUGUUCAAAUCUACGAAUCUCAUAUGAUCAUGUUCAAGUUGUCGUUAAUCCAUCUUACCAUGUAUGCUAAAUGGUCCCUCUGAUUCGGAUCAGUUGGCUCAGUAAGAACCGGUUCUUUCAGCUCCCACAUGGCUCUGGGUUUCAGAGUCGAGUCCUUGGGGAUCAUUUGUGUCCUCAGCUCGGUGCAGAUACUGUCUGCUGCUCCAGUGGCGGCUCAAAACAUGACCAUGACAGGACAUCAGGUUGUGGCGUCCCAUUUCAACAACACCGAAGGACACAUCCACCCAAAAUCUGGGGAGUCUGUUUCACCUUCAUGCAAAGCUGCUCUCUAAGUGUCUAAAAUUGGAUCCUCGUACAUGCUUUUUUUUAACCAGAUUACUCCUGAUCAAACAUUUUAACUCUGAGGAUUAUCUUUCCAUGACUCUGUGGAGCCUGAGCUCAAUAUUAGGUCUCAUUCUUAACCUUUACUUUUCCAAUAAACUCGCUCUGCAAACAGGUGUCUCCUCCAGGUUGUGUGUUCAUGCUGGCGGGAGUUGUUUGGAGAGAGAGGGAGGAAGAGGAAUUGGAAGAGACGAGCGGUCCUCAAUCAUGAUUCCUGAGCUCUAUAUAUGUGCCGUCUCCCUUCAGCCAUCUCAUCAGGGGCUGGUUUACAGCCGGGAUGCAAGGUGAAUGCAAUUAACCGCCUGGUAGGAUAGAAAACCAACAAGCUGGCAGUCAGAUCCAGAAAUAAAAACCAAAUGGAAGAGACAGAAGCGUCUGGCUCCCUCGGCUGAAAACAUAACGCCACAUCUUGAACCGAAUCCCAGUCCACCGUCGGACACACACUUCCCUCGCUGCAAACACUAACAGGUUGCAGAUUUUUCAGUCCACUCACAUAACACCACCUGUCGCCGAGGAGCGCAGAGACAGUGGAGGGAGCGCUGGAGUUUUGUUGUGCACCCAGACUCUGAAUUCAUUUCUGGGAACAAAACAAAGUGAGAGCCGACAGACAAGAACCUCCGGGGUUUGUUGUUUCUGUUCAUUCGCUCACAAACACACCGAAAAAAAAAACAAGUGAGAGAGGAACCUGAAUGAGAGUCUGCAGCACAGGAGUCAUGUGAUGUUCAGAAUGGUACGAUUUGUGAUUUAAACAUCACAUCUCAUGAGGACGAUACCAAAGGACUUCAAACCGAACAUCCUCAAACUGCUGCAGAGAAAAAUCCCAAGAAGACAUAAUGAGGAUUUUUUAAUAAAUGAAAAGGCACGAAGAAAAUGUCGAAACUCCAUGAAAUGAAACGUCUUUAAAAAAGUUAUUUUAAUAAACGACUUUGAGAGAAAAAUGGACGAACACAAAGAAGCGGCGAGGAGAGGAUGAGGAGGAGGAGGAAGAGGAAGAGGAAUGGUACACACAAACAAACACAAUUUCGUUUUGUUGAGAAAGAAUGAGGAACUUUUGAUUCCUGCUCAGAGGAUGAGACUCCAUGGUUACCGCUGAGGGGAUACGAGCUACAGUGGUUACCAUGGUUACAGGCCUGUGGAGCUUGUGGAUCUGCUUCAGUUUGGAGUAAAGUCAUUUGAAAUGAAUGUUUGGCAUCAGAAGAUGGAAGUGUCCGUGAACCGAGGUUUAUUUGGUCUUUACUGCAGCUACAGAGGACACGGGUCAGAUAACUGGGAUGAGAGACGACAUGUUGAAGGUAAAUAAAUUAAAUCUACAUCCAGUUUAAUGUCAGACUGAACUCUUGCUUUUUUUAGAAAGUUGAUUUUUGUGGUCUGUAAUCAAGAUUCAAACAAAAAGCCUCACUCUUUGAAUCUUGAUGGUUUAAAAUAAAAAUGAACCUGUAGUUUUAGUAAUCGAGAUGUAUUCUCUCUGUCUAGUUCCCACCUGGUUAAAAAUACAUCCAGGGAUCCUCCUAAACCCCGGGCCGGUGUGUUCAAAUUGGUAACCAGGCCUCCGAAACAUUCGCUCCUCUGAGGAGCUGAAGGGUUUUUCUUUGAGAGGAUCAUGAAUAGAUGAUCUUAAACCGUUUGGAGGGCAGAGCUCCUUUGUUGCAGAACAUCCUCUAAAAUCUUGAGUGCAUUUAAAAUCAUAAAGGUUAUGAUUACAAACACUGGAAGGGGAGAUAAGGAUACAAAGAGGCGCAUUUCAAAGUGAAUCUCAUUUUUUGGAGUUAAAACAUCACAAGUUUGGAGUUUACGUCUCUGAAGUCGUUACAAACAGACUCUGCGAUAUGAUUUCUUUUAUUAGGAGCGUUAUAGUUUCCAGGAUAAUAAAUGCUUGUAAUGUCUGAGUCAGCUGAAGUUGCAUGCUGGGAAAAAAGGAGAUAAUAAAAUUGCAUGACUCAAAAAACAGUCAGUGAAAUUUCUCUAGACUGACUCUCUACCUUUAUCUCAGGAUGGGAUCACGUCCAAACUGUCACUGUAUUUUUGGUGGACUGCUCCUUUAAGGACGUUUUACAUAAAAAGCAGCUUACGAUGCUCACUGAAGCAACAAUAACAAGUACAAGUCUGCAGAUGGACGGAGGCUGUCAUGGGAGCAGAGUCCUAAUGUGAACCAUGUCUGCAGCCCCGCCCCCUCUGAAAACCUCUGUGGUGAACGUGACCGCUCACCUCGGGUCACCUCUGAAACCAUCGAGUCAGGAAGUGUUUUUGAAGGAAGGCUCUGAAGUAUCGCUCUGAGUUUGACAUCUGUGAGUCUGAUGGAGCCGUGAGAGGGAGGCUGUGAGUAAGAAGAGUUUUAAUGGGUGGUCCUCACGAGCCUCAACCCCCAUUACAACAACACAAACGUGGGUUUAUGAUACACUCUAAAAACACUUAUUGUUAUUAUUAUUAUUUCUUCAACACAAUUCCUGGGUUAUAUGUGUUGAGUUAAAUUUCUGGGUUAUUUUUCAGAUCCAUCCCCAUUUCUUAGGUCAUAUGGAUUCUAUUGAAACCCAAUUUGGUUUUUUUUAAAUGGGUUAAUAAUUAUGGGUUAUUUUUCUGAGAGUAACCCAAUAAUUGGGUCAGAACGUUGGGUUCGAUUGACUCUACGUGGUUUCGAGGCCUAAUGGCAACACCUGGUGACCUUGUGAACUUUGACUUUGAUUUAAUAUACAAUAUGAUAUUUAUAUUGGGCCAGCUCGGGGUAGCUACCCCAAUGUAAACUGGGCGGCUGGGGUAGCUCAGCAGGUAGAGCAUCCAGUUCCUGACCAGGGGGUUGGGGUUCAAAUCUCACAUGAGACACAUCUGUAAGAAGCGAACUACAUCCACCAGUGUGGGUUCUUGGGCAAGACCCUUAAUGCUAUGGCGUACCUCAUAAACAUGAGUGCGUUACUAUUGAAAGCCAAACCGGCACAGACGUCGCCUGGGUUAACAAGGUUUGUGUCACAUGGCAUUGUGUAAGAAAUGGUCCACUGGAACGACAAAGAUUGAAGGCAUUGGACACGAGAUGAGAACAAGCCUCUGUUGGGAUGCUAGUGCUCCAGUAAACCUAAUCAGCGGGUCAAUGAUAUUUAAAUACACAGAUAUGAGUUUUUAAAUGCAUGGACUGAGCAUUGCCAACACAUCAGAUUAAUGCCAAAGUGUCGGAUAUUAAAAAUGACAAAUUCACCAGGUGCUCUCCUGGAAGUAUAGAGCACUGAUCUUGCAAAAAGCUCAGAUCCAAAAUAACAUCUCUAAGACAGAAAGAGAGAGUUACUGCCAAGACGAGUGACUCUAGAUCAUUCCGAGCCUGAAUUCCGAUCACUAUGAGCAACUUGGUAAGAUGGAUCACAGACAACUUGAGCAAAAUUUGAAGUUACCCAUGGAUCUCUGCGGGUAUGAUAUGUUUAGAUCAAAUUGUUUUGCAGACUUGGAUCGUAGGAAGAAGGGAGAGAGAUUAGACCAUCAGACUUUUAACAGGAUUUAACCAAAGUGGUUCUUUUCAUUCAAUUUGUAAAAGUCGUGUUGUUUUGUUUCUCAAGAUUUUGAAGCACUUCCGUGAAUUCUUGGUAUUCUGAUGAUGUCUUUGCAAGUAGUGCGCCGUCCAGACGAGACUGCAGACUGGCAUGCAAAAGUUGGAGUCAUGAAAAGGGGAGCUGAUGACUGAUUCAGGAUUCUGCUCUGGAGGAGGUAAAAGCUCCACCAUGAAGAGGGCAAAGGUCGAUCUGGUUUGGUCACCAGUGCAGCUGCCAUUGUGGUUUUGCAGUCGCCUACCAUACUCUGCAGCCGGCUUUAAUACUGUUUUUAGGUGACCACAACAGCUCAGGUAUAAUCCAAUAUAUUCAAUAUAUCCACCUGACUGUUAUUGAUUAUAAUGCGGUUGCAAAUCUCUCAUGCAUGUUGCGGUCCACGUGUUCGUUCCAGUGGGAGAUUCUUGAGGUCGGAGGCUGGGCGACUGUUUUCCUCUCUGUUCACUGACCUUCACGCUCUCCUCACCUGAACUUUGCUCUAAAAUCAAUAACUAAUUUUCCACCUUUUAGGGGCAGUAAUGGUCUGUAAGUGAAUUACUCACACUGCCAACAAAAAAAGGCUUUGGGAAAUGAUCGUCCAUGAAUAAAAUAUUUAGGAGGGAGAUAAAGAAUCAAGACCAGGUGGUGAUGGGGGUAGAAGAGGCAGUCUAUAAAGAUGCAGGUCCAUCACAUGCAGCGUGCACAGAGUCCGUGGGCUGCAGGCUGAGCUGCACAAAGUGAGUCAGUGUUUUCAGAGAUGCACAGAAUCCACCAGCAGCUUCCCACACAGGGAGAGCGAGGCCAGGACAGGGUGAAAUUAAUCUGAUUGAAGCUCAAAAUAAAGCGCCUCCACAGCCACGUACCAGGUCAGUUAGCAGAAAUAUUUCACUGAAGACCAGAAUGAAAAAAGAGGCUUUCAAUUCUCCAAUUGAUUUCAGCUCAGUGAUUCUUGUCAUGAGAAGUGUUCGGUGAAUUAUGAAUGUCUGCGUUCGAGCUGCAGAGCACGAGAGCUGUCUGGAAAAAAGAGGUGGGAUCAUUGUUGUCAAUGUCAGCUAAGCCAGUGACCCUACACUGGAACAAAGAUGACCCUACACUGAAACAAAGAUGACCUUACACUGAAACAAAGAUGACCUUACACCUAACAUUUUAGGAGAGAAGGUGAACAAGAACAAAAUUCAGUGAGUCGAGUCUGUAAUUCAGUGAGUAAGUAAGCAGGUAAGUCACUCAGUCACUGAAACUGGACUUUAGAAAACCUGGAGUGGUGGUUUUGAAUCAAACUUUUUUAAGUCGGACUGAAACCGGCUGAAGCGUUCUGCUCAUGCUCAUGCACACGCUGAGGGUUGUCUCUCCUAAAUUGACCUGUUGUGAAGCCAUAACCCCCUUAGUUUCUGUUGCUAGGUCCGUCAAGCUUCUUGGAGCUGACAGACUGUCGACACACUACCAUGGCAAGAAGAAGUAUUCCAGCGCCUCUCAGUGACGUUUUUUUGGAGGAAAAGGUGUUGCAAUAUGCAGUGGAGGGUUAUAUUCACAAUAUUAAAAUAAUUAACGAAGGGGAGACUACGACUAUCGAGGCUAAAGCACACCGGUCAAUGGCAAAAACGCAAAAAUCCCAUAAACUCUUUCUCAAAUGGAACGAACAUAGCCUAAUGGACCAGUCAUGUUCUUGCACUGCCGUGUAAGUUCUCUUAGCCUACUAUUGUUAAAAUAUAUUCAUCUGUGUCCACAUCCUCCUAAAGACUAUGAGAGCGCUAGUACAGCCAAUAAACCUACAGGACUGAUAAGCUAGCUUGCGUCAUUAUAAGACUAAAAAAUGUUUUGCAGCUCCACACAUCGAUUGUAAAGGUGGCACGAAUGUAAGGUGUCAAGCUACUAACAGUCUAUGGCGUCACAUUCUUACAUCCAUGUUCGGCACUUUUACAGCAAGUACAGAGUUCGGAUAUUCAGGAGUAGACUUCCUGUUCACAAAAUGCUCCAUGGAAGAUAAAAACAAAAUAAGUUUAAAUUGUCUGUUGGGACGAUUAUGUUAAACUUCGAUGUAAACUGACAAAACAACAUUAGCGAGCUGUGGCGUUAGCCUAGCUUAGCCUUACAUUAGAGCAGACGUAUUAAUGCUUGUUUAUUUUCGUGACAUUUAGCAGGGAGUGGGGCUUUUCACGUUGUUUUAUCCACAGUAGGAAACGCUCCUUCUGUGUUUUCAGCUUUGAAAAGGGAAAGAAAAUGACUCUUUAAGCCAAACUCUCGGGGUAUCAAGUGUCCAACUUCUGUGUACUGUGGGCACAUCACUUCACCAUUUCACUAGUGGUCUGCUGCUUGUCGGACCUUGCUUACAUAAUACAUACGAUUACAUAAUUGCUAGGCUGUGUGAUUGGACAGUGACCAUUUGGGGGCGUGGUUUUAUGAAAGUUCAAUUAAGCCUACCUUUAUUAACAGACAGUAGCAGCGCCUUCUUCUCUUCGGACAGUUGUUUCCUUUCACCCCACAUCUGCUGCUGCUGUUGUUGUGGGGUCAGUUUUUAGACGCCAAACUAUGAAAAGACCAAACUUUUAAGUGGGUCUCCAGAGGAUAAACGCCAGACAGGCGCCAGAAUUUGUGCCUGCUUUCGAAAAAAGUGGGCGACCUGCACUUCAGAGUCCAAUUCGAAAGCUAUGAAUCUCAAACAGGCUUGGAGGGAAAUCUCACUCUGCACAACUCAGAUACCUUAAGCAGACACACACACACACACGCACAAACACAAACACACACAUCGGCAUACAUCAGGAUCACAGGCCGUGGUGAAACAGCUUCUCUAAGUGAUUCCACUGAAGCCUGCAGGUGUUAAGACUGUGUUACUGUCACACCUCAAUAACCAGCUGCCCUUAAAGGAUGCAUCUCCUCCAACCCCGUCAUUACAGCGGAGCAAGUUUCUGCCAGUCAGCUGUGACAGAGAGACGGUGUUAAGAAGAGCAAUGUCUCCUGCUGCUUCACAUCUACCUUUAUUUUUAGCAGCUGAUUUAGACUCUGUGACCGUCAGUGGCGGCUGCUGGUCUUUCAAGGAGGGGAAGCUCAUUUUUCUGGCCUACAUCAUAAUUGUAUUUGUUUAUUAGUAUGUAACAGAACAGAGUCGCCAAACACAACGGCAGUCGUUUUUAAUAAAGACAGAAGUCGCUGAGGAUCGGUAAAGUCUCCGGAGCAGUUAAGAACAACGGAAUGAAUGACUUGGAAAAUGCUCUGGUAGGUGUUUUAUUCUUCAAGAUCGCUGAUUCGCUUGUUUAGCUGUCAAUCAAAAAAGGAUUUCGCCUCAGACAGCUCAUCCAAUCAUGGAUGCAGAAGCUUGCAGUCCGGGAGAAAGUCGGGACCGCCCUCUCGCCAUAGAACUCCAGUGAAGCUUAGCUUCCAUUGGGCGGGACAAAGCCCAGCAUUUAUCCAAUGAGCAUCUAGUUUCGCUGCUGGAACAACCCACUUUUAGCUUCCACAUUGAAGUCAGCAGAAGCCCAGCGUCAGGCUGUUUAAAGCGCUGAGGCGCUGCGAGGAUGAAUGAGAACGAAGUUAUGCCGGUUACCUGUGAUUAUCAGCUUCUUAUCACAGUGUCUGAACAAAAGAUGAAGGCUUUCUAGUGCGUAUUUAGUUAAUGAAAUGUACACACAGCAGUACGUAUUUCACCACUUUUUCUUUUUUUGGGGGGGUGACAUUUUAAGGGAAGCCGAGCUUCCCUUGCAGUCUUAGAGCAAUCGCCACUGGUGACCGUCCAGACCAAAGAAUGAUAACAGAGAGACUCACAGUUACAUGAAUAGAUUCAAAUCCUGUCAUGCAAAGGGACACAAGAAAAGCAGUUUUUUAAUGGAAACGCUCUCUAAGCUAUGGUGGCCUUCAAGGACAAAAGACUCCUUUAACCCUUACCCUAGUGGGGUCAAACUGACCUCAAGUCAGUGUGGACUGAGAUUACCCAUGACUCCUGAUGUUUUCCUGCCGGGGUCAAAUUCACCCUGUCAGUAUGGAUUGAGAAUCAUAAACCCUCACGCUUCCCUAGCAGGGUCAAAAAUAACCCCAUGGUGUAGAUAUAAACUUUAACUAUUUUAAACCCCUGACUCAUGAUGUUCUGGGCUGAAUAGCCUAGUCACCUAUACAUCAGCUCAAUCCCCAACCCACCUGACAGAGAGUGUAUCAAGUACCUAAAAGGGGAGCUCAAGAUCACCUUAAGGGUCGGUCAAGGUCGCCAGUUGAUGACUUUGUUAUUUUAUGGAGUCCUGGACAGAAAAGUUUGGGAACCUGUGUUCUUGUUAGAACUUUUCUCAGCUGCAUGUCUACGUGGAUUAGGAGAGAAGUUCAUACAUGAAGGUGCAAUUUGAACUGAGGUAGUGAAAAAAUACAACAGAAAUUAUUGACAUUAUGUGCAAUAAUACAAUCGAUUUUAAGAGGUAGGUUCAUAUAAAGUGAAACCCAGCGUUGUUUACAUGCUAUUUUGUGAUGCACAAGACUUUAAAACCAUACUGCACAUGUUAAAGAAAAGUCAUUCUGUAUUUCUAUUAUCUCUAAUAGGCUAACUCAGAGUAACUGGAAAAGUCUGUGGUGGCUGAAGCUGCUCGGGAAACUCAGAGGAAUAAUUUACUUUAUCUAUUUUUAUCAUCUUUCCUCUUAAAACUCAGCCCAGGAUCGAUGAUCUGGAGUGUUCUGCGUAAGUGUGUCAUCUCCAACACUUUGGUUUAUUGAAUUAUCUUCUCCUCUGUGCAUCAGUGAGCAAUAAGGGAUGAAUCUGAAGCCUUCAGUGUACCUGCCUCCUCCCUGCGAACAUUUACAGAUGAGCAGCCUAUUGGGGAGAAUCCAAGCAGCACAAAAUCACUUAAAAACUCAUCCACAACUCGGCCCAUAAUCUCUGCAGUGAGUCUGACAAUUAAAAAUCGUUAUCCAUUUACCACUUCAGCAGCUCGCUGCACAAACAGGAACUGAUGGCGAGAGGCAUCUGAAAAACAAAGCGGUAAUGAGGAGGUAAUUCUGUUAUUCACGAGUACAUUGAGAUGCAUUGUUGAUGUGAUGUCACUGUGUGGUUUUACUCCUCCUCCUCCUGUUUCCCGGCAGCAGUGAUUAAGUCAGGUUAAUGAAUGCCACAGUGACUGUUCACCUCCUUCUCCUGCACAGGAACAAAACAAGUGCUUACAUGAGAGCUGCAGCUCUGCUGAGAUUCACGAACACGGGUCUACCAAAUGACUUUGAAGGAAGGUGUGAGGAAUUUAAGGUGUGACUAAAAUUUGGAAUCUCUGACCAAUCAUGUUCCAGCAAACAUCGGAGUCUUCAAGAUAAACAGGAGUUUUUAAUGCCUGAGAUGUUGGGGUGUUGAAAACCAGCAGGGUGACAUCAGAGACUAUAUAGAAUGGACGCCAUCUGCCUCCUCGCUGGGUGACGCCACAACGAGAACAGCACCCUCUGGUGACGGGCUGCAGUAUAGGCCUCCUCCAGCAAUCCCUAUGGAGCUGUGGACAAACAUUUUUAAAAGUUAUUAGGGGGUUCAUGUUUUCUAUGAUUGACACAGACACGAUCACCGCUGAUUGCCACUGAUCGUUCCCAUUCAAGUUAAUGUGACAAUUUCCACCAGCUUCUUCCAGCCCCCUGCAGUUCUGGGGCUUCGCAGCCGAUCGCCUGGGUUCUGUGUUUUUCCGGACGCCGCAGCAUGGCGCCUAAUUUCAGCACAGAUUAACCCGUUUUGGAAAGGAAACAAAAUAAAACAUCUGUUUCUUUUCAAAAUAAAAGACCCCGUGUUUCAGGUGGAUGAUAUUUCACACCAUGCAAACGUGGGCGGGGACAAAAAGGUCACAGGUUUUCCAACACCAUGGAUGAGAAGAUGCUGAUUCUGGACGUCCAAAAUCUUGAAAUAAUCUUUGACCCGUCUCAUCCCUUAUACAACUCGUUAUCGGGCGAUUGCAUGUUAAUUUGUGGGUUCGUGUGAGUCAUCACGAUUCCCACUGUCUGAAAUUCGCCAUCAAAUUGGAUUCACAAACGCAUCCAGUAGGAAUUGGCGGACAGCGAUAGUUGCUGUUGAAAUUCGACAUGCACAUGCCGAGAUCUCAAAG